rnacentral:rRNA from 1 species
GGUCUCCGUAGGUGAACCUGCGGAGGGAUCAUUACACAAAUAUGAAGGCGGGCUGGAACCUCUCGGGGUUACAGCCUUGCUGAAUUAUUCACCCUUGUCUUUUGCGUACUUCUUGUUUCCUUGGUGGGUUCGCCCACCACUAGGACAAACAUAAACCUUUUGUAAUUGCAAUCAGCGUCAGUAACAAAUUAAUAAUUACAACUUUCAACAACGGAUCUCUUGGUUCUGGCAUCGAUGAAGAACGCAGCGAAAUGCGAUAAGUAGUGUGAAUUGCAGAAUUCAGUGAAUCAUCGAAUCUUUGAACGCACAUUGCGCCCUUUGGUAUUCCAAAGGGCAUGCCUGUUCGAGCGUCAUUUGUACCCUCAAGCUUUGCUUGGUGUUGGGCGUCUUGUCUCUAGCUUUGCUGGAGACUCGCCUUAAAGUAAUUGGCAGCCGGCCUACUGGUUUCGGAGCGCAGCACAAGUCGCACUCUCUAUCAGCAAAGGUCUAGCAUCCAUUAAGCCUUUUUUCAACUUUUGACCUCGGAUCAGGUAGGGAUACCCGCUGAACUUAAGCAU